ACGAACGCUGGCGGCAUGCCUAACCCAUGCCAGUCGAACGAGACCUUCGGGUCUAGUGGCGCACGGGUGCGUAACGCGUGGGAACCUGCCCUUAGGUUCGGAAUAACUCCCCGAAAGGGGUGCUAAUACCGGAUAAUGUCUUCGGACCAAAGAUUUAUCGCCUUUGGAUGGGCCCGCGUUGGAUUAGCUAGUUGGUAGGGUAAAAGCCUACCAAGGCGACGAUCCAUAGCUGGUCUGAGAGGAUGAUCAGCCACACUGGGACUGAGACACGGCCCAGACUGAGACGGGAGGGAGUAGGGGGGAAGCGUGGAGAAGGGGCAAAAGCGAGAAGCGGGGGAGCCGGGUGAGGGAGGAGGGCGUGAGGGUUGGAACGCUCUUGGACCGGGGAAGAUAAUGAGGGAAACGGAAGAAGCAGCUCCGGCAAACUCCGGGCCGGCAGACGAGAGAAAAAGGAAAAAGCACACGUCUGGAC
rnacentral:rRNA from 1 species